rnacentral:rRNA from 1 species
UACGUAGGGCGCAAGCGUUGUCCGGAAUUAUUGGGCGUAAAGAGCUCGUAGGCGGCCAGUUGCGUCUGCUGUGAAAUCCCGGGGCUCAACCCCGGGCGUGCAGUGGAUACGGGCUGGCUAGAGGCAGGCAGGGGAGAACGGAAUUCCCGGUGUAGCGGUGAAAUGCGCAGAUAUCGGGAGGAACACCGGUGGCGAAGGCGGUUCUCUGGGCCUGUACUGACGCUGAUGCACGAAAGCUAGGGGAGCAAACAGG